AUAUUUUAUCAACACUUAGAUGUUCCACGUCUAAUAAAAAAAAGUUACCAAAAAACCUAGAAAUUAACUUUACUUGCCUGAACUAAUUCAACUGCAUGCAAAUAAAUAUAUACUAGCUACUAAUUUAAAAAAGAAAAACUUAAAUAAUUAAUGUCUAGAAUAUUCAGAUCAAUCAUCUCCCGAGCUAAUAAUUAGUUUUUCAACCCAAUAGAUGUCCGGCUGCAUGAACUCGAACAACUCUGAAACAUGUAACUUUCAAGUUGGCCUUAAUUUUGAUUGCCUGGUCACUAUCAUUAUCAACCAAACCUUCCACGCACCUUGUGAUUGUUGAUGCCACUCUAGUGCGUGUGGCAUUGUCAAUUUCCAAGCCAUAGAGCAAGUCUAGUACGUACUGUUUGCGACUCGACUUCUUGCAAAGGGUUUUUCUCUGAGCCAAAUAAUUAUACUUGUCUACUUCUGAACCCCUGUUUUUCUCAGUUUUUGUAGUAACUACAUACCCAUCCGAAGUUUGAUAUUUCACUUUGAAUAUCUUUGUGACUCUUAUUUUGACAACGCUAUGAGGUUCACUUGCGUUGAGCGUCUUGCCGGA
rnacentral:lncRNA from 1 species